rnacentral:tRNA from 1 species
GGAAUGUAGCUCAGUGGUGGGGCACUUGACUAGCAUACACAAGGCCCUGGAUUCAAUCCCCAGCACCA